rnacentral:rRNA from 1 species
UACGGGGGGGGCAAGCGUUGUUCGGAAUUACUGGGCGUAAAGGGCUCGUAGGCGGCCAACUAAGUCGGAUGUGAAAUCCCCAGGCUCAACUUGGGAACUGCAUCCGAUACUGGAUGGCUUGAAUCCGGGAGAGGGAUGCAGAAUUCCAGGUGUAGCGGUGAAAUGCGUAGAUAUCUGGAGGAACACCGGUGGCGAAGGCGACAUCCUGGACCGGUAUUGACGCUGAGGCGCGAAAGCCAGGGGAGCAAACGGG